AACAAACGCUGGCGGCGUGCCUAACACAUGCAAGUCGUACGAGAAAGGGUCCUUCGGGACCUGAGUAAAGUGGCGCACGGGUGAGUAACGCGUGGAUAAUCUGCCCUUCAGUUGGGAACAACUCAUCGAAAGGUGGGCUAAUACCGAAUAACACUGUGAGACUUUGGUCGAGCAGUCAAAGAGAGCCUCUGCUUGCAAGCCCUCGCUGAAGGAUGAGUCCGCGUACCAUUAGCUAGUUGGCAGGGUAAUGGCCUACCAAGGCGACGAUGGUUAGCUGGUCUGAGAGGAUGAUCAGCCACACUGGAACUGAGAUACGGUCCAGACUCCUACGGGAGGCAGCAGUGAGGAAUCUUGCGCAAUGGGGGAAACCCAGACGCAGCAACGCCGCGUGAGUGAGGAAGGUCUUCGGAUCGUAAAGCUCUGUCAGUUGGGAAGAAAUGCCUGAGGGUUAAUACCCUUCAGGCUUGACGGUACCAACAGAGGAAGCACCGGCUAACUCCGUGCCAGCAGCCGCGGUAAUACGGGGGGUGCAAGCGUUGUUCGGAAUUAUUGGGCGUAAAGAGCGUGUAGGCGGCCGGAUGUGUCAGAUGUGAAAGCCCUGGGCUUAACCCAGGAAGUGCAUUUGAAACUGUCCGGCUUGAGUAUGGGAGAGG
rnacentral:rRNA from 1 species